GAUAGAAAGAGACGAGAAGAGUAAACAGCCUUGCAACCUUGGGAAUGGGAACUAUAUGUAGCCUUGAACAGUCAGGUCACAUCUCAGGAUAUCUGUUUCCCCUACUGUGGAGCAACAGGGUCAGGCUAGAAGGCAUCUUCUUCCUUAUCAACUUCAGUAUUCAAGGUACAGAGAGAGCAGGACAGUGGAAACACAGAAUGAUGGUACCACAGUGUAUUUCUAACUUUUGUUAAGAAAAAAAUAUGUAUUAAAUACCUCACUAAUUUAGCCCAAAGGCAGAGGACAUUCCAAAUUUAAAGCACAAAUGGGGCAAAAAUCAAAAAAAAGCCACUAAGAAGCCAUUUUAGAAGUGAGCCUCAGACUGAUCCAUCUACCAAGAAAUUUAAGAGGCUCACUGCAGGAGCAGAGCUGCUUUUAAACCAGCACCUCUACUCCAAACAGCAAAAUAAUUCCAUUUGACCGUUCCCUUUGUAGUGAGGCAUUAUAGAUAUAAACCUGUCAGGACCCUGCCAUUGCUGGCAGUUAGACUGCAAGGUCACUGGCCCGUUAAAUGUAUUCUGUAGUCUCGAUAAAAACAAGGCAAACCACAGGUGCUGGUGUGUAGCGGGAGCACCUAGGGUCAGGAUUCAGGAUCACCCUCUCCUGACAUUUUCCUGCCAAUAGCUGAAGACAGUCAUGUUCAUUGGUCUGGAGUAUUUUCUCUUCUUUUAUUCUUAGUUUAAAAAUUUAAAUGGACUCUUCUUACAAGAAUUUUUCUCAGGGCAAAAAGAAUAAAUAUUACUCAAGUGAAUCAAGGUAAGGUUUUUCAACAUUAGCGGGCAUCAGAAUCACUCAGAAGGCUUUUUAAAACACAGAUUACUGGGACCACAUCUCCAGGGUUUAUAAUUCAAUAGGACUGUGGUUGGGCCCAAGAAUAUCCAGACUAGUGCUGCUGGUCUGGAGAACACACUUUGCAAACAGCUGCUGUCACUAACUUCCUUGCCCUGACAGCUUGGAUACACAGUCUUCUUCAACAACAAUUGUUAUCAUUUAUUGAGAACUUACGACAUGCUGGACACUAAGUGCUGUGUGAUUUAUUAACAUGAAUCCUUUUAUCCUCACAUCAACCCUUGGUCGUGCUGGUGUUUGUUUUUAUUCCUAUUUUACAAAUGAGGAACAUAGGCUUGGGAGAUUAUGAAGAGAAUGACCAAUAAAAAUCUGAAGAACCAUGGUGAUCCCCGAGGAAACAAUGAUAGGAUAAUAAACGGUUCUGGGUUGGAGAUCUGAAAAUACCAACUGAGCAAGAGGAAGAUCCAAGAGACAUGGGAAAAUGGCAGCCCUUGCAAAAAAUUACCAGGUUUUCAAAGACAAUGAGGUCAAGAGAUUCAACACCCAGAAUGCCACAAUCAUCUCUAACUGCACUCCCAGUUCCUAGGACAGACCUCAAAUCCUACAUCCUUUAGGACCAGGGACUGGGAAUCCUCCAGGGAUCCUCUACAUUCAUGGAACAGGAUCACAGAAGACAGAAGGGACUAUUGCCCAGGAAUAUGCCCAUCCUCAUUCUUUUCACCACAACAGUCUCACAGGACUCUACAUCAUUGCAGAGAAAGGAUGGAGAGGAGAGGCUACCCGUUUCCAGGAGAAGGGCUACCUGCCUAACGUGUGACCUAUCAGUUGAUCUUAUGGACCUGCCUAUUACUUCACAUCACCUGCACGCUAUUAAACCACUUCUGCCUUGCUGGGUAACCAGAUCUGCCUUCCUGCAAAGACACUGCCUUGGGACAGCACACAGCAAGCCUCUGUCCCUUGCUAGGAGGCCUACAGUUUCCAGAACAGUGUAAG